AUUGAACGCUGGCUGCAGGCCUAACACAUGCAAGUCGAACGGUAACAGGAAGCAGCUUGCUGCUUUGCUGACGAGUGGCGGACGGGUGAGUAAUGUCUGGGAAACUGCCCGAUGGAGGGGGAUAACUACUGGAAACGGUAGCUAAUACCGCAUAACGUCGCAAGACCAAAGAGGGGGACCUUAGGGCCUCUUGCCAUCGGCUGUGCCCAGAUGGGAUUAGCUAGUAGGUGGGGUAACGGCUCACCUAGGCGACGAUCCCUAGCUGGUCUGAGAGGAUGACCAGCCACACUGGAACUGAGACACGGUCCAGACUCCUACGGGAGGCAGCAGUGGGGAAUAUUGCACAAUGGGCGCAAGCCUGAUGCAGCCAUGCCGCGUGUAUGAAGAAGGCCUUCGGGUUGUAAAGUACUUUCAGCGGGGAGGAAGGGAGUAAAGUUAAUACCUUUGCUCAUUGACGUUACCCGCAGAAGAAGCACCGGCUAACUCCGUG
rnacentral:rRNA from 1 species